rnacentral:rRNA from 1 species
GACGAACGCUGGCGGCGUGCUUAACACAUGCAAGUCGAACGGAAAGGCCCUGCUUUUGUGGGGUUCUCGAGUGGCGAACGGGUGAGUAACACGUGAGUAACCUGCCCUUGACUUUGGGAUAACUUCAGGAAACUGGGGCUAAUACCGGAUAGUAGCUCCUGCUGCAUGGUGGGGGUUGGAAAGUUUCGGCGGUUGGGGAUGGACUCGCGGCUUAUCAGCUUGUUGGUGGGGUAGUGGCUUACCAAGGCUUUGACGGGUAGCCGGCCUGAGAGGGUGACCGGCCACAUUGGGACUGAGAUACGGCCCAGACUCCUACGGGAGGCAGCAGUGGGGAAUAUUGCACAAUGGGCGGAAGCCUGAUGCAGCAACGCCGCGUGCGGGAUGACGGCCUUCGGGUUGUAAACCGCUUUCGCCUGUGACGAAGCGUGAGUGACGGUAAUGGGUAAAGAAGCACCGGCUAACUACGUG